rnacentral:rRNA from 1 species
GAUGAACGCUGGCGGCGUGCCUAAUACAUGCAAGUCGAGCGAACAGACGAGGAGCUUGCUCCUCUGACGUUAGCGGCGGACGGGUGAGUAACACGUGGAUAACCUACCUAUAAGACUGGGAUAACUUCGGGAAACCGGAGCUAAUACCGGAUAACAUGUUGAACCGCAUGGUUCAACAGUGAAAGACGGUCUUGCUGUCACUUAUAGAUGGAUCCGCGCCGCAUUAGCUAGUUGGUAAGGUAACGGCUUACCAAGGCAACGAUGCGUAGCCGACCUGAGAGGGUGAUCGGCCACACUGGAACUGAGACACGGUCCAGACUCCUACGGGAGGCAGCAGUAGGGAAUCUUCCGCAAUGGGCGGAAGCCUGACGGAGCAACGCCGCGUGAGUGAGGAAGGUCUUCGGAUCGUAAAACUCUGUUAUUAGGGAAGAACAAAUGUGUAAGUAACUAUGCACGUCUUGACGGUACCUAAUCAGAAAGCCACGGCUAACUACGUG